GCUACGGGAGGCAGCAGUAGGGAAUCUUCCACAAUGGACGAAAGCCUGAUGGAGCAACGCCGCGUGGGUGAAGAAGGUCUUCGGAUCGUAAAACCCUGUUGGUAGAGAAGAAAGUGCGUGAGAGUAACUGUUCACGUUUCGACGGUAUCUACCUAGAAAGUCACGGCUAACUACGUGCCAGCAGCCGCGGUAAUACGUAGGUGGCAAGCGUUAUCCGGAUUUAUUGGGCGUAAAGGGAACGCAGGCGGUCCAAUAAGUCUGAUGUGAAAGCCUUCGGCUUAACCGGAGUAGUGCAUCAGAAACUGGGGGACUUGAGUGCAGAAGAGGAGAGUGGAACUCCAUGUGUAGCGGUGGAAUGCGUAGAUAUAUGGAAGAACACCAGUGGCGAAGGCGGCUCUCUGGUCUGUAACUGACGCUGAGGUACGAAAGCGUGGGUAGCGAACAGGAUUAGAUACCCUUGUAGUC
rnacentral:rRNA from 1 species